UACGAAGGGGGCUAGCGUUGUUCGGAUUUACUGGGCGUAAAGCGCACGUAGGCGGAUUGUUAAGUCAGGGGUGAAAUCCUGGAGCUCAACUCCAGAACUGCCUUUGAUACUGGCAAUCUAGAGUCCAGAAGAGGUGAGUGGAACUCCUAGUGUAGAGGUGGAAUUCGUAGAUAUUAGGAAGAACACCAGUGGCGAAGGCGGCUCACUGGUCCGGUACUGACGCUGAGGUGCGAAAGCGUGGGGAGCAAACAGG
rnacentral:rRNA from 1 species